GAGGAGCACGCUAGUAAGCAGCAUCCUCCUGUGGCCACUGCAACAGCUCCUGCCUCCAGGUUGCUAGGCUGUGAGACCUCAAGUCAAAGUCAAUCCUAUGAUGAGUCAGACUGACAAGUUCUGCUAGAGGGAGAGAAAGAUGGCUCAAGAGCAGACUCAGAUCCCUGGAGAUGAUCAGAGGGUUUGCUGCUGGAAUUAAUGCUUGAUGGCUAUUUGUCUGAUGUAUCCACAUUACAGGAUGAGAUGUUCACAAGAAUAAUUCCUAGUGAUCCUGCUGCUGCUCGUGAGAUCUUUGCCAACAAGAGAGGUAUGCUUGUCCAUGUCUAUGUCUGGGGUGAUAGAAGAGUCCGGUUGCUGCUGUGAACCAGAUACUGCAUAUCAGCAUCUGGGCUUUGAUCAUCUUGGAGAAAACUUGACUCUUCCUGAUGUAUUUGCGAGUAGACUUCCCAGUCUCCUCCAUCAGCCUUUAGAUGUGGAUUGUCAGGAGAGAUGUUUGAUUGCUUUUGUUCCUCUUUAAAAGAAUUUCAUUGUGGAUUGGCAUAUAAUAUUUGUAUACACUUAUGUGGUAAAAUGUGAUGGUUCUAAUUGGUACUUAAUACUGGGAAGUAUCAACACAACAUAGUUAUCCCAUUUUUCACCUUAGACUGUAAUCAUUUUCUUAUUGUCAGAACCUCAAAAAGCCCAUCUUUAGCCAUUUGUAGAUACACAAUGCAUUGUGGCUAAUUAUAUUCUCCCUACUGUGGUAGGGCUCACCAGAACCUACCGUACCUAACUAACAGUAACAUGAGCCAGCUCUGUCUCCCAAGUUCCUCUCUGCCCCAUCUCUGGUAGCCACUACACUGCUCUCAACUUCUUUGAAGUCUUACAUGUGAAUGAACUUGGGUAGUGUUUGCCUGUAUGAACAUGAAUUACUUCAAUCCACAUAAUGGCCUCUGAGUGUUUGCAUUAUAUUGCAAAUCACAAAAUGUCAUUCAAUUUAUAGCUGAAUAAUAUUCCAUAGCAUAUUCACCCAUUAUACUGGUUUCUACCUAUUUAUGAAUGGUGAACAUUUAGGAUAAUUCCAUUUCCUGCAUAUUUUUGUAUAGUAAAUAAGAGUAGAAGUUCAGACGUCUUUUGAUAUGGUGAGUUCAUUUUCUUUUAUACAUUCCCAGUGGUAGAAUUGUUGGUUCAUAUGAUAGCUUUGAUUUUAUGGGUUUGUUUGUUUAUUGGUUUGUUUAAGGAGUUUUGCUUUGAAAUAGUUGUAGAGUACUCUUCUCCAGGAGCCAAAGAACACUUAACCACAGCACCAAUACCAGACAUGAGGAGCCAUGUAUUUGAAGAAGGGAUAGGAAGGCUAUAUGGGAGGUUUUGGAGGGUGGAAAGAGAAGGGAGAAAUGUUGUAAUUAUAUUAUAAUCUAAAAAAUAAAAAAAUAAAGUUAAUAGAAGAGAAAAUUUUAGUUCCUUUUUUUUUUUCUUUUUUCAUCCUUACCAGGGAAUGCUCCUUGCUUAGUUACUUAGUUGGUAUAUGUGUGCAUGCAAGUGUGAAUGCAUAUGGAGGCUGGAGGUCACAGUCAAGUGUCUUCCUCAAGCUCUCUUCCACCUCACUGAACCUGGGGCUUCUGAUUUAGUUGGCGUGCCUGGCCAGUGAGUCCAGGGACCACCCUCUUGUUACCUCCUGAGUAGUUGAACAGCUGCACCUGACUUUAAAGUUUUUCUUCAAAAAUUUUAAUUUAAUGUACUUUUGUUGUACUUUUAUUUAUUUAGUGUUUUGUUGUUACACCUGGCUAUUUAAGUGUUUUCUGGGGUUUUGAAUUCUUAUCUUUGUGGUUUUGUGUCAAACAUUUUACUGACUAAGCUACUUCCCAAGGAUCUUUCCCCCUUUUUCAUCAUAGCCAUCUCAACUAGACUGAGAUAUAAGCUCAUCAUUUUGAUCUUCAUUUUUAUAUUAUUCAAAACGAUGUUGAACAUUUUUUUUAUUUAUGUCUGUUGUUAUUUGACCAUCUCUUUGAAAAUAAAUGCUUAUUC
ensembl:lincRNA Gm17751 predicted gene, 17751